UGCGCACGCGCAGGAUUGGGAGGGGCUUGGAAGAGGCGUGUGGGGUGGGGUUUCUCGAAUGCGGCCGCCAGGGCUGUCCCGCGGCUAGGACAACCCCCGGGCGGGGGGGGCCAAUGCUUGGCCCCUCCCUCAGACAGGUGGGACUCGAGGCUGAAGAAGGAGCAAGGAAUUCAGGACCGAAAACCUAUUACACACUCUCUCUAUUUUUUGGCUGGCGUUAGCUACUCUUGUGCUACCAUUUGGCAUUCCAUGAAAAGGAUCUCUUACAUCUGCAUAUAAUUACAGCAUUCAGCUCAAUCUGCUGUGUGUUGGGUCAUCAGGAAUCAUAAACAAGAGAGCUUUUAUUUAAAAAAAAAAAAAGUCACUUUCCAGAGCAUUCACCUGCCUCCUACUUGAUCAUCAGUGGCCUGCCAUGGGGUAGCUGCUGUGACUGAUUGUAUAACCUACUGAAGGCCACCACCGUGGCAGUUGAAUGUGCUCCUGUGGCUGUAUCUGCACACGAUCCUGGCUCCUCAGGGGUUGCCUGGCCAGGAUGAGAGCCCUUUCAGAACUGCAGAGGGGGCUGCACUGCUCAUCUGUAAGCAGAUAUCUUCUUGUGUGAGCCUUGUGGCUGGAGGGAUGGGUGACUGAUGCCCUUAUUACUGUGUCUUUGUGUAUAGUUUAUUUUACAACUUCCAAAGUGCACUAGCUUCUGCUCCAGUGGCAGCAUGGGUCAGUGCCUUUAUUAGGCUGCAGCUAGAGGAGAAUGACAUCCACUCCUAGGGUGCUGCUAGAAGUCAUCUCAUUUGAUAUGACCUGUAGCAAUCCUUAGUUAAGGAGAGGUGAAGUCCCCUAGAAAUAAUCCUGCUGACAUGGGUAAACAGCUCUAUAAAGAUCUAGUGCAUGAGAUGAAAGGCCUGGCCAACAUCAGUCCCCCUGGUAUUGUCAGAGUCUGAUGGUUCCUAUGUCAGCCCCAGAGACAGGCAGUUGAGGCAGCUUGGUGCUAAUCCUGUCCCUUUUUCAGCCUUCGCUCUUGCCAUACAGUUGCUGAGCAGUCUUGCAGAAACUACCAAAGACUUGAGCUUUGCUCCUUGUGCUUCUGUAGCUUCUUCUUUGUAGGCCAGAUCCCCCAGCUGGUGAAAGUCAGUAUAGUUCCACUAUGUCAAUUCUUCCAAAGAGAUCGAAGCAUACUGGACAUAAUCUGUUUUGCCAUUUCUUGCCUCUGUCAGAUUCAAAUCAAUCCAUCUUGCAGUGAAGGAAAGCAUGGACUGCUGUUUGCAUCAGCCUCAAGGCUGGGGCUGGUGAUGCAAGAGAACACUUUUCCUACAUCAGUUUUCAUUUGCUGGAGUCACAUUGGCUUAGUCGGAGGCAGUGCUGAUGCAAUGCUGAAAGGGGGAAAAAAAAAAAACAAUGAAAACAUCAUUGGUUUAAGAUUAGAGUGCACACAGCAAAAGCCAGUGCUUCACCUUUUAACUUUAUCCUUUACAUACUUUUACUGACUCAGCUCCACUGGCUGGAGUGUGUGCACUUGAGGAAAAAGCAGUUACAUGACCCACCUCUGCCUUGCCCUUCCCUGCCUUCUUAUGGGUUUCUAGUUCUACUGGUGGCAGUGGAAUGUCAGCAGCAGCAGGACGGAGAUUAUGGCUGACACUUGCGCAGAUACACAAGUGUGUGAGGGAGGAGGUGAAGGUCCUUGUGCACCUCCACAGUGCUGGCCACAAUCGAGCCUGAAAUCUUUUUAAAAUAGUGUAUUUAAAUACCCUUAGAUGGGCAUUUGGCAUAAAUCAGAUGAAAAGUGUUUGAAAAGGUUAACAAUCUAAAAGUUAUAGCAGGCUUUGAAUAGGAAUUACAGCCCCCUAGAAACAAGCCCGCUUGGCAAGCGGUCCCACAGCACAUUGUUUGUCCCUAGGAUGUCUCAGUUACCAAACACCGGACCUGAACUGGUUUCCUACAGUAGUAAUUCCAGCUAUCAGAAAAGCUCUGAGAAAGCUUGGUUUUCACUAAAGAGCUCUCAUGAUGAGAAAAAAAUGUAUAUUUUCGGCAAACAUAUGAGCAGCAUAUUUCCAUUCUCAUUAUGCUGCAUCCUAACAAUGUGUCAGCUUAAAAAAGAUUACAUCUUUCUACUCUCAGAAAAGUAGAGACAUCAAAACUU